UGAGGAAUUUUGCGCAAUGGGGGGAACCCUGACGCAGCAACGCCGCGUGGGUGAUGAAGGCCUUCGGGUCGUAAAGCCCUGUCGGGCGGGAAGAACGUCCCUUCGGGGAAUGACGGUACCGCCAGAGGAAGCACCGGCUAACUCCGUGCCAGCAGCCGCGGUAAUACGGAGGGUGCAAGCGUUAUUCGGAAUUACUGGGCGUCAAGGGCGGGCAGGCGGGAGAGCAAGUCUGCUGUGAAAGCCCGGGGCUUAACCCCGGAAGGGCAUUGGAAACUGCUUUUCUUGAGUUCUGGAGAGGAAGGGAGAAUUCCCGGUGUAGAGGUGAAAUUCGUAGAGAUCGGGAGGAACAUCAGUGGCGAAAGCGCCCUUCUGGACAGCAACUGACGCUGAGACGCGAAAGCGUGGGGAGCAAACA
rnacentral:rRNA from 1 species